rnacentral:RNase_P_RNA from 1 species
UCAGGGGGCUGGGCGACCGCGGCCGCGCGCAAGCGAGGGCGAGGAAAGUCCGGGCUCCACGGAACGACGGUGCCGGGUAACGCCCGGCGGGGUCGGGGCCUCGGCCAAGGCUUCAGGGAAAGUGCCACAGAAAGCAUACCGCCGGCUCUCGGGCCGGUAAGGGCGAAAGGGUGCGGCAAGAGCGCACCGCGCGGCUGGCAACAGGCGCGGCACGGCAAACCCCACCGGGUGCAAGACCGAAUAGGGGCGACAUAUGGGGCUGUUCCGCCUCGUCGCCCGGGUUGGUUGCUUGAGCGGCAGGGUAACCUGCCGCCUAGAGGAAUGGUCGCCCAUCUUCCGCAAGGAGGAGGACAGAACCCGGCUUACAGGUCCCCUGGCACA